rnacentral:lncRNA from 1 species
GAUAUCAAGAUCCAAGGCCAGUGAGUGUGGCGGAGGAAGGGGUGGAAGAAGUGAGAGGCGUUAAGGGGUCAAGAAUGGAGUUGCUGGUGGCGGAGGAGUAGAGGAGAGAGAGCGCGAGGGGAGGGCGAAGGAGGGUGGCGGUGUUGAAGUUGAAGAAGAAGAGGAAGAAGCGGUGGUGUGAGGACAUGAAGAGUAUGAAGAUUAUGAAGGAUGAGCAGAGGAAGAGUGAUCUUGAUGAUGAGAGGCUCAACAAGAUGUGCCUCCCUCGCUUCCUCUUUCUUCUUUGUUCUGCCGCCUCCAUCUUCUUGGUGGAGAGAGAGAGAGAGAGAGAGAGAGAGAGAGAGA